rnacentral:lncRNA from 1 species
AUGCCACCUGCCUCAUGCCUGGCACACAGGGGGUGCUGGACCUCGAAGGAAGGUUCAAGGAAGGUGGGAAGACAGGAGGGAGGCCAAGAGGGCCGCGUGAACCAUGCUGCUGGGGUGGCAUUCUCCACCACGACCCCCGCCAUAAGGUAUUUUCAAACACACCCACGCUCUUCUUUGGCCAGUGCACGGGGCUUAGCAGGGCCACCCUCCUGGGA